UACGUAGGGGGCAAGCGUUGUCCGGAAUUAUUGGGCGUAAAGGGCGCGCAGGCGGCGCAAUCAGUCUGAUGUGAAAGUCCCAUGCUCAACGUGGGGAUGGCAUUGGAAACUGUUGUGCUUGAGUGCAGGAGAGGGGAGUGGAAUUCCACGUGUAGCGGUGAAAUGCGUAGAGAUGUGGAGGAACACCAGUGGCGAAGGCGACUCCCUGGCCUGUAACUGACGCUGAGGCGCGACAGCGUGGGUAGCGAACAGG
rnacentral:misc_RNA from 1 species